UUACUGAGUUACCGCUCUAUAACCCUUUGUGAACAUACCUAACCGUUGCUUCGGCGGGCAGGGGAAGCCUCUCGCGGGCCUCCCCUCCCGGCGCCGGCCCCACCACGGGGACGGGGCGCCCGCCGGAGGAAACCAAACUCUAUUUACACGACGUCUCUUCUGAGUGGCACAAGCAAAUAAUUAAAACUUUUAACAACGGAUCUCUUGGUUCUGGCAUCGAUGAAGAACGCAGCGAAAUGCGAUAAGUAAUGUGAAUUGCAGAAUUCAGUGAAUCAUCGAAUCUUUGAACGCACAUUGCGCUCGCCAGCAUUCUGGCGAGCAUGCCUGUUCGAGCGUCAUUUCAACCCUCAAGCACCGCUUGGUUUUGGGGCCCCACGGCACACGUGGGCCCUUAAAGGUAGUGGCGGACCCUCCCGGAGCCUCCUUUGCGUAGUAACUAACGUCUCGCACUGGGAUCCGGAGGGACUCUUGCCGUAAAACCCCCCAAUUUUUUACAGGUUGACCUCGGAUCAGGUAGGAAUACCCGCUGAACUUAAGCAUAUCAAUAAGCGGAGGAAAAAC
rnacentral:rRNA from 1 species